rnacentral:rRNA from 1 species
UGGGGAAUAUUGGACAAUGGGGGCAACCCUGAUCCAGCAAUGCCGCGUGUGUGAAGAAGGUUUUCGGAUUGUAAAGCACUUUCGACGGGGACGAUGAUGACGGUACCCGUAGAAGAAGCCCCGGCUAACUUCGUGCCAGCAGCCGCGGUAAUACGAAGGGGGCUAGCGUUGCUCGGAAUGACUGGGCGUAAAGGGCGUGUAGGCGGUUUGUACAGUCAGAUGUGAAAUCCCCGGGCUUAACCUGGGAGCUGCAUUUGAUACGUGCAGACUAGAGUGUGAGAGAGGGUUGUGGAAUUCCCAGUGUAGAGGUGAAAUUCGUAGAUAUUGGGAAGAACACCGGUGGCGAAGGCGGCAACCUGGCUCAUAACUGACGCUGAGGCGCGAAAGCGUGGGGAGCAA